AUUGAACGCUGGCGGCAUGCUUUACACAUGCAAGUCGAGCGGUAACAGGCCGCAAGGUGCUGACGAGUGGCGAACGGGUGAGUAAUGCAUCGGAACGUGCCCAGUCGUGGGGGAUAACGCAGCGAAAGCUGCGCUAAUACCGCAUACGAUCUAUGGAUGAAAGCGGGGGACCGGAAGGCCUCGCGCGCUUGGAGCGGACGAUGUCAGAUUAGGUAGUUGUUGGGGUAAAGGCUCACCAAGCCGACGAUCUGUAGCUGGUCUGAGAGGACGACCAGCCACACUGGGACUGAGACACGGCCCAGACUCCUACGGGUGGCAGCAGUGGGGAAUUUUGGACAAUGGGCGCAAGCCUGAUCCAGCAAUGCCGCGUGCAGGAAGAAGGCCUUCGGGUUGUAAACUGCUUUUGUACGGAACGAAACGGCUCUGGUUAAUACCUGGGUCUAAUGACGGUACCGUAAGAAUAAGCACCGGCUAACUACGUGCCAGCAGCCGCCGUAACAC
rnacentral:rRNA from 1 species